rnacentral:rRNA from 1 species
UGAGGAAUAUUGGUCAAUGGGCGAGANNUGAACCAGCCAAGUCGCGUGAAGGAUGACUGUCUUAUGGAUUGUAAACUUCUUUUAUACGGGAAUAACAAGAGUCACGUGUGACUCCCUGCAUGUACCGUAUGAAUAAGCAUCGGCUAACUCCGUGCCAGCAGCCGCGGUAAUACGGAGGAUGCGAGCGUUAUCCGGAUUUAUUGGGUUUAAAGGGUGCGUAGGCGGCCUGUUAAGUCAGCGGUGAAAUCUAGGAGCUUAACUCCUAAAUUGCCAUUGAUACUGGCGGGCUUGAGUGUAGAUGAGGUAGGCGGAAUGCGUGGUGUAGCGGUGGAAUGCAUAGAUAUCACGCAGAACUCCGAUUGCGAAGGCAGCUUACUAAGGUACAACUGACGCUGAAGCACGAAAGCGUGGGUAUCAAACAGGAUUAGAUACCCUGGUAGUCCACGCAGUAAACGAUGAUAACUGGGCGUAUGCGAUAUACAGUAUGCUCCUAAGCGAAAGCGUUAAGUUAUCCACCUGGGGAGUACGCCGGCAACGGUG